GUCAAAGGGAAUUUCAUCAUCUCAUGAUCUUCAGCUGAACCUUCCCUAUAUGAUGACUUGUCAUUGUCAUGCCAGAAACAGAUGCCUUAGAAAGAGAUGGGGAAUUACUAUUGCAAUGUCAUGUGUAUAUAAUUUUCUCCUUCUGAAUGGAAAUUGAGGGCUUUCCUAGUUACUAACAUUUUUAGUUAGAUAGUGGUGAUAUCUUUCACUUAUGCAGCACCUUUUUAAUCUGAAGGACACCAGACUGCUUUAUUAUUAUUUUAUUGUUUGAAUUUCAGUAGUACCUAGGAGCCUCAGUCAGGGACCAGGAACCCAUUGAGCUAGGUACUGUACAAACACAGAAACAGAUGGCCCCUACCCCAGAGAGCUUACCAAUGGAGUAUAAAACAAGAGACAACUGAAUAUAGACUGACAAGGGAGUAAAAGGAAACAAUGAACCAAUAUUGGUCAGCGUGAUUGGUACUGGUCUGAGUUCAUAAGCAGCCUAACCAUUGUCAAGUUUUUUGUAGGCAUCAUGGCAAAGAGGAGUUUGAAGGAGGGAUUUGAAGACGAAGGAGGUAGCUUUUCAGAUGCUUCCAUGAAGCAAAUCUCAGGCAUGAAGGGCAGCAUGGAAGAAAGCAUGAAGAUGCUUGUUUGAAAAUUUAACAAGUGGGUGAUGGUGACCUGGACUAAAAGAUAAUCCUCUCACUCUCACCACUGACCUAGCUGACAACUUCACAGCCAUGCAAGUUGGAAUUAAGGGAAAGAAGCAAAGAACCCUUUACCCAGAUGCAGCUGACACAAGUUUCAGGUCUGUCUCUCUUUACUGUAAAGUCUUAGCAAACAAGGAAGCAGAGAAUCCUGGAAUCACUUUGCUAAGAGCAAACAACAUUUACAUGGAAGGUUAGGCUAUGCAUAUCGCAUGAAAGAAUGAAAUAGCUAUCCUGGUCUGAUGUCUCCAGCCAAGGUUUGGAUGGGUGGAACAUACAACUACUACAGAUACUGUAGAACAAUACACCAAAUGCAGAGCAAAUAGCAGCUGUGAGUCUGUUAAUCACAAACAAUAACAGAACAGAAAUACAUAUUUACAUACUAAUAUUUCAUCUGCUUUUUUUUUCUUAAUAAGCUUGUUUUUAAUUAUUUUGUGAUGGGCUGAAUUAAAAUUCUUAUUUGUUUUGCAUUUGAUGUGCUCGUGCUCGCUGUCUGUUGUAAGAUUUUAUGCUGCUCCAAUCUCUGUGUGCACUUUCUUCUGAAUGCCCAAGAGGAAGGCUGGUUACUCAUU